CCUACGGGUGGCAGCAGUGAGGCAUAUUGGUCAAUGGCCGUAAGGCUGAACCAGCCAAGUCGCGUGAAGGAAGAAGGAUCUAUGAUUUGUAAACUUCUUUUAUAGGGGAGUACAGGUAUCCACGUGUGGAUAUUUGAAUGUACCCUAUGAGUAAGCAUCGGCGAACGCCGUGCCAGCCGCCCCGGUACUACGGAGGAUGCGAGCGUUAUCCGGAUUUGUUGGGUUUAAAGGGUGCGUAGGUUGUAUGUUAAGUCAGCGGUGAAAGUUUGUGGCUCAACCAUAAAAUUGCCGUUGAAACUGGAAGACUGGAGUGUGUGUGAGGUAGGCGGAAUGCGUGGUGUAGCGGUGAAAUGCAUAGAUAUCACGCAGAACUCCGAUGGCGAAGGCAGCUUACUAGCCCAUAACUGACACUGAGGAACGAAAGCGUGGGGAUCAAACAGGAUUAGAUACCCGUGUAGUC
rnacentral:rRNA from 1 species